UUGUUUGUAAUGUGUUUACCAACCUACACUCACUUUCUAUAUAAUUUUCAGGAAAGCCUAGAUCAUCAAAUGAAAAUGGAAGGCAAGGACCUCGAAUGAAACAUGUGAUUAAUACAACUUUCUUUUUUAUAUUUAUAUUGUUUCGCCUUGUUUUAGGUAUUGAAAUUAUUUCAUUUACUAUAAAUAUAUUACUAUCAUUUAAUUAUUCAUAUUGGUUAUAAAGAGAAUUAAUUGCGGAAGGAAGACAUGGUAAUGGUUGAUCGUUAUUUAGAGUUAAGAAAUUACAAACAAACUAAGAUUCUAACAAAGGAUGAGUUUACUGGAAAUCUCUAUUUAAAUAGGUUAUUUCUGUCAUAAAGCUCUAAAUGUAUUUAAAUACGUUGAUGUGAAUGACUUCCAGAUGUUUGUGUUUUUUAAAGCGUUCAUGAUAAAGGCCAAUUGAGAAAAGCUCCUUGGACGGAAUAAAUAGACGAAGGGCUAGUUUUAUUUAGUUUCUAUAUGCUUGGUGUUGUUUAAAAAGUUAGACUGCUCAUUAUUUUGCCAACUUAUAAAAUUGUUAGAAACAAUGAUAUCAUAGAAAAAGCUGUUUGAUUUAUAUUUAUAUCUCAGAUAAAAUACAAAACUGUAUCUCACAUAUGAACACGUAUGAAAAUACAAAUAAAAAGAAUUGGUAUAUAUAUAUGAAUAUUUCAAGGAUUCAAAUAUUGAUACAUAAACCAAGUACGACUUAUAUUUAUGUAUUUUCAGGAAAGCCUAGGCCAGCAAGUAACGUAAAUGAACAGCAAGAUAAAAUUUGUGAAAGGCAAAAUAAAAAGCAAGCAGAAACUCAAUGGAGACAUGUUAUAAGUCUUAUUCUCUUUUUUAUAUUUUUACUUUUUCGCCCUUUUUCUAAAGUUUAGUAAAGAGAAUAAUGACUUAUCUUUGUAAAAUCAUGUAAUUUGUGUGUCUUAUUUGUGUAACAUUGUUAUUUUAUUCAUCGAUGAAUGUAUUCAGAUUGUGACGCACCCUAAUGUAAAGCUAUCUUCCUUUACAAUUGAUGUCGUAUCAACAUGUUAAAAUGUCUUCAUAUCUUUUAAGUACAGAACACAUAUAAAACAAAUUCAGUAUUGAGUGUUAUAGUUCUUUUUCUUUUUUAACAUACGGUCUUCUUGUGUUGUUGAUAUGCUUGAACAAACAAGAAUGCAUAUGUUCUAUUAUUUCAAAUUGACG
rnacentral:lncRNA from 1 species